CCAGAUGUAAGCAAAUUUGGAGCUUUUGCCAUUGAUUUUUUGACCACUCAUAGAAGAACCAUGAGUGCCACACCUGAUAGAGCAAAACCCUUGCACAGCCACAUCGGACGACGUCAAAACCACAUUGAUAGCAUCUUUUUGACCACCCUUGGAGGCUAAUUGAACAAUGUGCUUACUGGAGAGCGAUUUGCCUAAUGAAUAACUUUCAUCAAAGAUUUGGGUGCCCAAGGAAAGGGCGAGAGGAGCGGUUUUCUUGGAUUUGACGAGGUGGUAGUAUUUCUCUGUGGCUUUCCACCAGGUAGCAACAGAAGGUUGGGACGUGGUGGGUUGAGCAGAAGAAAGGGAGGUAAUGAAAUCUGAGACAAUGGCACGUUGGGCAGGUUUGAAGUUACCGUACCAAAUCAAGUUGAUAGAAAUUUUGCCAGUAAGAAGAGGACCAUUGUGGUAUUGAAACAACAAGGGGUGCUGGUUUUGAUCAGACUCUGCGAGUCUCCUUACUGCUGAGCUAAAAUGAACAAGAGAGACUAAUAAAAGGAGCUUAAGAAGAAAAUGAGGGGCAACAAAAGAGGCCAUAAUAAUAGAUCUUAAACAAGAUUGAUGGAAAAGAGAAGAAGUGAUGAGUGUUAG
rnacentral:misc_RNA from 1 species